rnacentral:rRNA from 1 species
UACGGAGGGGACUAGCGUUGUUCGGAAUUACUGGGCGUAAAGCGCGCGUAGGCGGAUUUGUAAGUCGGGGGUGAAAUCCCUCGGCUCAACCGAGGAGGUGCAUUCGAAACUGGCGGACUUGAAUAUGGAAGAGGGUCGUGGAAUUCCCGGUGUAGAGGUGAAAUUCGUAGAUAUCGGGAGGAACACCAGUGGCGAAGGCGGCGACCUGGGCCAAUAUUGACGCUGAGGUGCGAAAGCGUGGGGAGCAAACAGG